AAUCAACGCUGGCGGCGUGCCUCAGACAUGCAAGUCGAACGUGAAAGGCUUCUUCGGAAGCCGAGUAAAGUGGCGCACGGGUGAGUAACACGUGAGUAAUCUGCCUUCACGGUGGGGGAUACCAAUCGGAAACGGUUGUUAAUACCGCAUAAUGCAGCGGCAUCAUAAGAUGACAGUUGUUAAAGCGGGGGAGCGAAGCAAUUCGUCCUCGCGCCGGAAGAGGAGCNCGCGGCAGAUUAGGUAGUUGGUGAGGUAACGGCUCACCAAGCCUGCGAUCUGUAACCGGCCUGAGAGGGCGGUCGGUCACACUGACACUUAGAUACGGGUCAGACUCCUACGGGAGGCAGCAGUCGGGAAGUUUUGGGCAAUGGGCGCAAGCCUGACCCAGCAACG
rnacentral:rRNA from 1 species